rnacentral:lncRNA from 1 species
AGCUGGGGUUGGGACUCCCCGGCUGGAAAGCACUCGGGGGAAGCCGGGGAAGCCCCGGCUUAUUCGGCUUAUUCGCUCCUUGUGCCUCGAUUGCUCACGCUGGCUUCCGCCCUGCAUCCUGCACCUUUCAGCCAGAACCCGAUGGAGGUACAGAACGGGAGGUGGUAGUGCUGGUGGUGGUGGAUCAACAAUGGAAUUUUUUACGAAAGCCUACGCCCCGGGCCCCUCCCAGCUCUGGCUCUGCUCAGACACCCUUCUCCCCUCCAACUGCGGGCCAGGCCGCCCCGCCCUCUUGACCAAGACUUCACUACUUAGUGGCACUGUAUACAGUGUUUCCCCUUCUGUGCAGCCACUCUUCUCCCGGGUUCUCUUCUCCAGCCUCCCCUUGCAGAGUAGGGCAGCUUGCGGGUCCUCCUG